rnacentral:rRNA from 1 species
AGAGUUUGAUCCUGGCUCGGGACGAACGCUGGCGGCACGCUUAACACAUGCAAGUCGAACGAGAGAAGAGGAGCUUGCUUUUCUGAUCUAGUGGCGGACGGGUGAGUAACACGUGAGCAAUCUGCCUUUCAGAGGGGGAUACCGAUUGGAAACGAUCGUUAAUACCGCAUAACAUAAUUGAACCGCAUGAUUUGAUUAUCAAAGAUUUAUCGCUGAAAGAUGAGCUCGCGUCUGAUUAGCUAGUUGGUAAGGUAACGGCUUACCAAGGCGACGAUCAGUAGCCGGACUGAGAGGUUGAUCGGCCACAUUGGGACUGAGACACGGCCCAGACUCCUACGGGAGGCAGCAGUGGGGAAUAUUGCACAAUGGAGGAAACUCUGAUGCAGCGAUGCCGCGUGAGGGAAGAAGGUUUUAGGAUUGUAAACCUCUGUCUUCAGGGACGAAAAAAGACGGUACCUGAGGAGGAAGCUCCGGCUAACUACGUGCCAGCAGCCGCGGUAAUACGUAGGGAGCGAGCGUUGUCCGGAAUUACUGGGUGUAAAGGGAGCGUAGGCGGGAUCGCAAGUCAGAUGUGAAAACUAUGGGCUUAACCCAUAAACUGCAUUUGAAACUGUGGUUCUUGAGUGAAGUAGAGGUAAGCGGAAUUCCUAGUGUAGCGGUGAAAUGCGUAGAUAUUAGGAGGAACAUCAGUGGCGAAGGCGGCUUACUGGGCUUUAACUGACGCUGAGGCUCGAAAGCGUGGGGAGCAAACAGGAUUAGAUACCCUGGUAGUCCACGCCGUAAACGAUGAUUACUAGGUGUGGGGGGACUGACCCCUUCCGUGCCGCAGCAAACACAAUAAGUAAUCCACCUGGGGAGUACGACCGCAAGGUUGAAACUCAAAGGAAUUGACGGGGGCCCGCACAAGCAGUGGAGUAUGUGGAUUAAUUCGAAGCAACGCGAAGAACCUUACCAGGUCUUGACAUCGUAUGCAUAGCUCAGAGAUGAGUGAAAUCUCUUCGGAGACAUAUAGACAGGUGGUGCAUGGUUGUCGUCAGCUCGUGUCGUGAGAUGUUGGGUUAAGUCCCGCAACGAGCGCAACCCUUACUGUUAGUUGCUACGCGAGAGCACUCUAGCAGGACUGCCGUUGACAAAACGGAGGGAGGUGGGGAUGACGUCAAAUCAUCAUGCCCCUUAUGACCUGGGCCUCACACGUACUACAAUGGCUGUCAACAGAGGGAAGCGAAGCCGCGAGGUGGAGCGAACCCCUAAAAGCAGUCUUAGUUCGGAUUGUAGGCUGCAACCCGCCUACAUGAAGUCGGAAUUGCUAGUAAUCGCAGAUCAGCAUGCUGCGGUGAAUACGUUCCCGGGCCUUGUACACACCGCCCGUCACGCCAUGGGAGUCGGUAACACCCGAAGCCUGUAGUCUAACCGCAAGGAGGACGCAGUCGAAGGUGGGAUUGAUGACUGGGGUGAAGUCGUAACAAGGUA